rnacentral:SRP_RNA from 1 species
CCGUGCUAGAUGGGGAGCUAGCGGUUCCCUGUAACCUGCAACCCGCUACAGCAGGAUCGAUCGCUUUUUAGAGGGCCCCGGACCAUUAUUUUUAUUUAUGUAUGUGGGUGACGAGGGCUGGAUCUCAUGCAAUAGGAGGCAAUGUGAACUUGGUCAGGUGCGGAAGCAAGCAGCCAUAAGCAUUUGUCCUUAUGUGCCGUGAGUCAAUCUGGUCUGAGCUUACUGCAUGGAUAAACUAAUGGGAAAGGGAACGAAAAAAGUGCACGG